CCGUCAGACGGACACCGAGAGCUGCACCUCACACCCAUGGGCCGGACCCCAGGAGCUGGACAGACACGGCCACCCUGAGCCUUCUCCCACCGAACGGACCCCAAGAGCUGCGGGCCGGACCCAACGCCCAUCACCCGGACCCCAAGGCUGCCCACAGGGCAGCAGGAGCCUCCAGCCAGGCCUGAAGCGCUGCCACUGGCCCCUGCUCAUCGCCUCCUUUGGGAGCACAGGAGCCUCCUGCCUCCGGUCCCUUCGGCUGCCACCGGAGCAGAGGGUGGCCCUGCCAGGGGCACAGAGCCCUUCUUGUGCCCUGGCUCCUUCCGAAGGAGGAAGCUGGAGCAGAGGCAGCCCCGGUCCCACGCUGCCCUUGGACUCACCUUGGCUCCCCGCACACAAACACUCAUUCCCCUCUCAGCAGCAUCUCUUCACUCGUGGUGGCUGCAGGAUCCCUCACUGACCCACCACUGGGAGGGACUUGGUGGCUUGAGCUGAUCCCCUGGCAUGGACAGAAGCCCUGGACGUGGUCUUGUGCUGGGAUCCUAUCUCCGGUGUCUCUGAACCCAUCAAGGAGCUCAGCUCUCAGCUCUCUGCUCUGUCAGCUCCUCGCCACUUUCUCCUUCACGUCUUGGGUCUUUGCUGGCGAAAGGGAAGUGGUUUAAUGCGAUUACCCCAGUAAAGCCCCACAUAAGAGGAUUGGUGGUGCUGCGGUGCUACCGGCAGCACGUGGCACAGGGGUGAGUGUGCUGGCUGUGGGUACCAGCCCGACCAUCACAGGCACCCCAAACCCUGCUGGCCCUUCAGGGUGACCCUGGGAUCCUGCAGAGCUCACGGGCCAGCAUCUGCCCAUGCUGUGGUGGCUGCUUGUCCUGGUGAGGUGUGGAUGGGGUGGGCAGCAGAACACACCGGGGGGGGGGGGGGGGUUAGGGUUAGGGAGGUACCAGGUGCUGGUGAAGUGCAAACCAACAAACCACGAACAAACCUGUGCAAGCUCUGGUAGAGCAGAGUGGAAAGUGCUUUUCUUUCCCCGCUUGUUUCCCUUGGCUCCUCCCCGUUCCGGGCAGGCUGAC
rnacentral:lncRNA from 1 species